rnacentral:rRNA from 1 species
UACGUAGGGGGCGAGCGUUGUCCGGAAUUAUUGGGCGUAAAGCGCGUGUAGGCGGUCCGGUAAGUCGGCUGUGAAAGUCCAGGGCUCAACCCUGGGAUGCCGGUCGAUACUGCCGGACUAGAGUUAGGUGGGGGAGAUCGGAAUUCCUGGUGUAGCGGUGAAAUGCGCAGAUAUCAGGAGGAACACCGGUGGCGAAGGCGGAUCUCUGGGCCUUACCUGACGCUGAGGCGCGAAAGCUAGGGGAGCAAACAGG